rnacentral:rRNA from 1 species
AGUGAACGCUGGCGGUAGGCCUAACACAUGCAAGUCGAACGGCAGCACAGUAAGAGCUUGCUCUUACGGGUGGCGAGUGGCGGACGGGUGAGGAAUACAUCGGAAUCUACUUUUUCGUGGGGGAUAACGUAGGGAAACUUACGCUAAUACCGCAUACGACCUACGGGUGAAAGCAGGGGAUCUUCGGACCUUGCGCGAUUGAAUGAGCCGAUGUCGGAUUAGCUAGUUGGCGGGGUAAAGGCCCACCAAGGCGACGAUCCGUAGCUGGUCUGAGAGGAUGGUCAGGCACAGUGGAACUGAGAAACGGUCCAGACUCCUACGGGAGGCAGCAGUGGGGAAUAGUCGACAAUGGGCGCAAGCCUGAUCCAGCCAUACCGCGUGGGUGAAGAAGACCUUCGGGUUGUAAAGCCCUUUUGUUGGGAAAGAAAAGCAGCAGGUUAAAACCCCGCUGUUCUGACGGUACCCAAAGAAAAAGCACCGGCUAACUACGUG